rnacentral:rRNA from 1 species
CUUCAUGAAGCUGGAAUUGCUAGUAAUGGCAGGUCAGCAUACUGCCGUGAAUACGUUCCCGGGGCCUUGUACACACCGCCCGUCACACCAUGAGAGUUGGGAAUACCCGAAGCCUGUGAGCUAACUGUAAAGAGGCAGCAGUCGAAGGUAGAAUCAAUGAUUGGGGUGAAGUCGUAACAAGGUAGC